UAAACAUCAUACAUUAUUCUAGAUAUUUGAUGCUUAAAUGUUGAGUUUGCUAAAUGUUGUCAUAACAGGAAUUUAACACACAAAUGAGAAGCUAUGUGACUUUGGACAAGCCACUUGUGUGCUCUGGGAUGUAAUUAGCUGACACAUUAAAAGGAGAUCCAGGUGGAUUAAAUAAAGUCUUGGUUCCCCUUCCAGCAAGAACAUAAAAUUGGUUGCUCCAUUUCAAAGAAAGAGAUCCUGUUUCCUGGUCACACACACAAAAAAAUUAAGGUUUGUGUUCUAACAAUAAAACUGAUAGGAACCAGAUGUCACAACUCUGCAAAGUAGAAUUUGGCUUCCAGACACAAUUCAGGACUUCUUGCUACCUCUCCCUCACCACUCCUUACUCUAUCUCCUCUCAAGGGUCAGAAUCAAGGCAAGAAAUGACAUCCCACCAAAGAGCAGUACCAGCCUUUCUAAGGUUGUGUUUUCUAAGCAAUUCAAAUGGGGAUACAAGUGACAAUGGGGCCACAAUCCUCUUUCUUCCUUUUCUGAGUCUUGUACCCAUACAGCUGAAGCAGUCAGCAACACCACAGAGACAAGCUGGAUCAUUAACCCACUGUGCCACAGCAGGAACUGCUUCAUCUGCUUUUUUUUGCCAAGUCUCUUUCCUUCUUUUCUUUUUUUCUUUCUCUCUCUUUCUUUCCUUCCUUUUUCAAGGGCCACAGGUACAGCAUGUGGAAGUUCCCAGGCUAGGGGUCCAAUCAGAGCUGCUGGCCACAGCCACAACCACAGCAAUGCAAGAUCUGAGCUGUGUCUGAGAAUUGCACCACAGCUCACGGCAAUGCCAGGUCCUUAAUCUACUGAGCGAGGCCAGGGAUCGAACCCCCAUUCUCAUGGCUACUAGUCAGGUUCGCUACGGCUGAGCCACAAGGUGAACUCCGCCAAUCCCUUCCUUGUUCCAUUUCCUCUCCCACUGGCUGCUAUGGCUUUUUGUUCUACAGAUUUGGUAUUAGGUUAGGAGAAAACAGCACUAUUGGAGUCCUAGGAAAUAAAGCUAUUAAAGAGCAGAUACCCCAAAUCCAAACUCACAGUUUUUUUUUAUUCCUCAAUGAAUUUUGUUACAUUUAUAGUUGUACAAUGAUCAUCACAAUCUGAUUUUAUCGCAUUUCCAUCCCAAAUCCCCAGCGCAUCCCCCCAUUCCCCAACCUGUCUCAUUUGGAAACCUUAAGUUUUUCAGAGUCUGUGAGUCAGUACCUGUUCUGCAAAGACGUUCAUUCUGUACUUGUUUUUAGAUUCCGCAUGUAAGUGAUAGCAUUUGAUGUUGGUGUCUCACUGUCUGAUUGACUUCACUUAGCAUGAUAAUUUCUAGAUCCAUCCAUGUUGCUGCAAAUGCUGUUAUUUCUUUCUUUCUAAUGGCUGAGUAAUAUUCCAUUGUGUAUAUGUACCACAUCUUCUUGAUCCACUCCUCUGUCGAUGGACAUUUAGGUUGUUUCCAUGCCUUGGCUAUUGAAAAGAGUGCUGCAAUGAACAUCGGAGUACAUAUGUCUUCCUCAAGUCGUGGUUUUCUCUGGAUCGAUGCCCAGGAGUGGGAUUGCUGGAUCAAAUGGUAGUUCUAUUUUUAGUUUUCUGAGGCAUCUCCAUACUGUUUUCCACAGUGGUUGCACCAAUUUACAUUCCCACCAACGGUGUAACAGGGUUCCCUUUUCUCCACACCCUCUCCAGCACUUAUUGUUUGUAGACUUUUUGAUGAUGGCCAUUCUGGCUGGUGUAAGGUGAUACCUCAUCGUGGCUUUGAUUUGCAUUUCUCUAAUAAUGAGUGAUGUUGAACAUCUUUUCAUAUGUUUUUCAGCCAUCUGUGUGUCUUCUUUGGAGAAAAAACUCAUCGCUUCUUAACUGAAGUGUCCUGUUAUUCCCACUAUUCCCCAAGAAUAGCAAAGAAAAUAGUGCACAAUCUUGAGGGUCUUCCUACAGUGAAAUGAGGUGAGGACAGUCUCCUUGGGCUGAACUAUUCUGUAUAUCUAACACAGUGUCCCCAGGGAACUUAAUAAUAAAUGCAACGUCUCAGUUGGAAACAGCAGUGAUAAUCAUUUAAUAAUUCAUUGAGGAAAAAAGUAGGUGGGAGGACAAUAAAUGUGGUGUGACACACUUAAUAAUGGCUCAAAAUGGUAAAAUUAUGAAAGAUGCAUGAAAAAUAGAUAUGCCAUUGUUCAAAUGACUGAUUUUUUGAGAGGGACAAUCUAUAAUGAGAAUAAAGAGGUUUUUUGCUGGUUUUAGUAUGGGUUGUUUAUUUCUGCCAAAUAAUUUCUAAUACUAUGAAGAAAUAAAAUACAAUAAAUACAUUUACAUACACACCGUGUAAUAUUUUAUACAGCCCCAGUGAGUACUACAGAAAUAGGUGUGGAUAUGAAUAAUUCAUAAGAAGGAAAUUACAUGUUAUUCAGUAACACUUAUCUACAAUUAUUUUCAACCUCAUUAAGGUGCUAAAACUCUUUAAAAUGAACACAGGAUGACAGUAUAGAUGCAGCUGUAUGACCAACAAUAUAGAGGUCAAAGAGUAAAUAAGGAAUCUGUGUCUUUUUCUAAGACACUUAUUUUAGGGAGACAUAUGGCUUUGUUAACAUUACUCAAGGCUCCCUCAGCUAUAUUCAAGUAACUAUCAUUUAAAUGGGUGGUGAUCACUCUGAUCAUAGGCCAGUCCACCUGCUAAAUACCAGACAGUGAGUAUUCAGCCAGAGAUAAAUCUGUCGAUUCAAAAUCAAAGCCAGAGAAAUUCGUAGAAUUUAACUGCCAUUAGCAUCACUCCUGCUGCAUUAAGAAGACUGGGAAAUCACUAGUUGAGAUGUCAUAUCACUGCUCAUUUUUUUUUUUUUGGUCUUUUUUUAGGCUGCACCUGUAGCAUAUUGAGGUUCCCAGGCUAGGGAUCCAAUCACGGAUCUGCUGGCCUACACAAUAGCCACAGCCAUGCCAGAUCUGAGCCAUGUCUGUGACAUAUACCACAGCUCACAGCAAUGCCAGAUCCUUAAUCCACUGAAUGAGGCCAGGGAUGGAACCCACAUCCUCAUGGGUGCUGGUCAGAUUAAUUUUCCACUGAGCCACAACGAGAACUCCUCACUGCUCAAAUUUUAUCCUAUCAAACUCGAGAUAAGUAGCUGCUGAGACUAGAACUUUAAUCUUUCUUUAAAAAUAAAAUUAAGAGUUCUCUGGUGGCCUAGCAGUUAGGGAUCCGGCACUGUCACUGCUGUGGCUCUGGUCGCUGUGGCGCAGGUUCGAUCCCUGGCCCAGGAACUGCCACAUGCCUUGGGUGCAGCCCAAAAUUAAAAAAAAAAAAUUAAUUAUAAGGAUAGGCCUAGGAACUAUAUGCAGUCUCUUGGGAUAGACCAUGAUGGAAGAGAAUAUAAGAAAGGGUAUGUAUAUAUACAUAUGACUGGGUCUAUUUGCUGUACAGCAGAAAUUAACACAACACUUUAAAUCAACUAUACUCUAAUAAAAAAUAAAAAUAUAGGCCUGAAGCUAAUUUAAUGUGUGCUGUCACUUUCAUAAUAAGCAGCCAAUCCAUCCCACUAAAGAUAAAGUAGGAAGAGCUAAGCCUGAGCAGUGGCAUAGUUUGUGCAUUCUAGAAAGUCAUGCCCUUAAGUGACAUUGUGAUGAUGGGAUACACAGAGUUUACACCUAUAGUCACAUGGCAUAAUUUGAGUCAAGAAGACUCAACUCUGAGGGCAAAUAGCCAACUGAAGCUUCCUUUUCACCCGUCCUAGGCAGGUAUUUAGGAGCGUAAGUUGUCAAUGCCUUCCAAAUUGAAUGCCUGAGUUGGUACGGCAUCAUUAAUUCAACAGUUAAUUAAUUUCUGAGAGCAUGUUUAUAAAUGUUGGCCCCUCCUCCCCAAUUCUCCCUGAAGUUGUAAGUUAGAAGAUGUGAGAGAGUGAUUUCCUUCUUCAUGACAUGACUCUACCCA
ensembl:lncRNA